rnacentral:misc_RNA from 1 species
UCAAUGGAACGGAGCAAUCAUCUUUCCAAAUCUCUUGAAAUUGCUGCUGGCAACGCUGCGUUCCAGUUCUGGUGAAACGUCUCUGUUGACAUGACAAUUACCCUGAUGAUCCCGUCUUGGGGGCUGCACUCUAUUGUUCGGUGAGGCUUUUUCUUGGACGCUUGAAUUUACGUAACAAAAGCAAUCGUCGGUGUUCGUCCUUUACUUGCUGCUACCUCAAGAAAACCGAGGGAACCUGGACCGGCGAUCUGUUGAAAGGAGAGUUUGGACAGUGGACGUAGAUAGGCACAUUGGUGCUGGGAAACAGCCGAUAGUUGGACAUAAGUGGAUAAAACGGACAUUUUGAUACACCACAGAUAAAAUGCAGGCGAUCAAGUGUGUUGUCGUCGGCGAUGGAGCCGUCGGUAAAACAUGCCUACUGAUAAGUUACACCACAAAUGCGUUUCCAGGGGAAUAUAUUCCAACAGUAUUUGAUAACUAUUCUGCGAAUGUAAUGGUCGAUGCGAAACCAAUCAAUCUCGGACUGUGGGAUACAGCCGGGCAGGAAGAUUAUGAUCGAUUGCGUCCACUUUCAUAUCCCCAAACAGAUGUAUUUCUCAUUUGCUUCUCAUUAGUCAAUCCUGCAUCGUUUGAGAAUGUCAGAGCAAAGUGGUAUCCAGAAGUUCGUCAUCAUUGCCCAAGCACUCCAAUAAUUUUAGUUGGCACGAAGUUAGAUUUGCGUGAAGAUAAAAGUACCGUAGAGAAAUUAAGAGAUAAAAAAUUGGCACCGAUCACGUAUCCUCAGGGCUUAGCAAUGGCUAAAGAAAUUGGUGCUGUAAAAUAUUUGGAGUGCUCGGCACUCACACAGAAAGGGCUAAAAACCGUUUUCGAUGAAGCUAUACGGUCAGUUCUGUGUCCAGUACUGCAGCCAAAAUCCAAGCGCAAAUGUAUUAUAUUGUAAAAGUUACAUUUACACAACUAUAUAGACACACACAAGUUUUUUUUUCUGAAGAACAAGCAACCACAGAGGAGACGAAAUGAAGAUGAAAAACAAUCUAAGAAAAUAAAUAAAAAAUUAAAAGAAGGAAACUCGACAUGUAUACAUGGACAAACACGAAAACAAAUACUUUAAUAAAAUUCAAAAUGUAUAGUUGAUUCUGUGCAGAACGCUAUCAGUCGAUGUCGUCGAGGGUCGAAAGAAAGAAAUGUGAAUUAUCUAGAAACUAGCAAAAUCCGCAUAAAUUCGGUAGAUUCGGGUGAAAUUAUGUGUUGUGUCCAAACAAAUCUUUUUUUCUAAAUGUUUUGUAAUUUACUACCAAAAAUACAAACAAGAUAAAGAAAAUACUAAUUAACUAAAA